rnacentral:rRNA from 1 species
AUUGAACGCUGGCGGCAGGCCUAACACAUGCAAGUCGAGCGGAUGAAGAGAGCUUGCUCUCUGAUUUAGCGGCGGACGGGUGAGUAAUGCCUAGGAAUCUGCCUGGUAGUGGGGGAUAACGUCCGGUAACGGGCGCUAAUACCGUAUACGUCCUACGGGAGACAGCAGGGGACCUUCGGGCCUGUCGCUAUCAGAUGAGACUAGGUCUGUUUAGCUAGUUGGGGAGGUAAUGGCUCACCAAGGCUACGAUCCGUAACUGGUCUGAGAGGAUGAUCAGUCACACUGGAACUGAGACACGGUCCAGACUCCUACGGGAGGCAGCAGUGGGGAAUAUUGGAUAAUGGGCGAAAGCCUGAUCCAGCCAUGCCGCGUGUGUGAAGAAGGUCUUCGGAUUGUAAAGCACUUUAAGUUGGGAGGAAGGGCAGUAAGUUAAUACCUUGCUGUUUUGACGUUACCGACAGAAUAAGCACCGGCUAACUUCGUGCCAGCCGCCGCGGUAACAC